rnacentral:rRNA from 1 species
GGGGGAUAAGCUUCAUUGUCGAGAGGGAAACAGCCCAGAUCACCGUUUAAGGCCCCAAAAUAAUUACUAAGUGAUAAAGGAUGUAAUAUUACAUAGACAACCAGGAGGUUAGCUUAGAAGCAGCUAUUUCCUUUAAAAAGUGCGUAAUAGCUUACUGGUCAAGUGAUUUUGCGCCGAAAAUGAAUGGGACUAAGUAAUUUGCCGAAGACGUGAGAAUUUUCAGUAGAAGAGCGUUCUGUUUUAGUUUGAAGCGGUAGCGAAAGCAGUCGUGGACUUAGCAGAAGUGAGAAUGUCAGCUUAAGUAACGAAAACAUUGGUGUAAAUCCAAUGCCCCGUAAAUCUAAGGGUUCCUUAGCUAGGUUCGUCCACUAAGGGUUAGUCAGAUCCUAAGGUUAGGUUUAAAAACGUAAUCGAUGGUCAACAGGUUAAUAUUCCUGUACUGUUCUUUGCUUAAUUAAGAGUGACGAAAAAGGCUAAGUCAGCCGAACAUUGGUUGUUUCGGUUUAAGUUCUCGAGGUAUUGGAAAUAUUAUAAAAAAUAUUUUUAGCUAAGGUUCGAAUACGAUAGAUACUAUGGUAUCGAAAGUGAAUUAUGUCAUGUUUCCAAGAAAAACUUUUGUAGUGUGUAGUAAAGAAUAUCUGUACCGUAAACUGACACAGGUAGAUUAGUAGAGAAUACUAAGGGGCGCGAGAUAACUCUUUCUAAGGAACUCGGCAAAAUGGCCCCGUAACUUCGGGAGAAGGGGUGCCUCAUUUUUGAGGUCGCAGUGAUCAGGUCCAAGCGACUGCUUACCAAAAGCACAGGUCUCCGCUAAGUUGAAAAACUAUGUAUGGGGGCUGACGCCUGCCCAGUGCCGGAAGGUUAAAGAAAUUGGUUAACAUUUAGUGAAGCUAGUGACUGAAGCCCUGGUGAACGGCGGUCGUAACUAUAACGAUCCUAAGGUAGCGAAAUUCCUUGUCGGGUAAGUUCCGACCCGCACGAAAGGCGUAACGAUUUGGAUACUGUCUCAGGAAGAGACUCGGUGAAAUAGAAUUGACUGUGAAGAUGCGGUCUACUUGCACUUGGACAGAAAGACCCUAUGAAGCUUUACUGUAACUUGAAAUUGGUUUUGGGCUUUUCUUGCGCAGAAUAGGUGGGAGGCGUUGAAUCUCUUUUUCGAAAGUUGAUGAGCUGUAAUGUGAGAUACCACUCUGGAGAAGUUAGAAAUCUAAUGGUAUUCUUUUAUCAAGAUACUUGACAGUUUCAGGCGGGCAGUUUUACUGGGGCGGUAGCCUCCUAAAAGGUAACGGAGGCGUACAAAGGUUUUCUCAGUCUGGACGGAAAUUAGUUUUAGAGUGUAAAGACAUAAGAAAGCUUGACUGUGAGACCUAUAAGUCAAACAGGGACUAAAGUCGGUCUUAGUGACCCGACGGUGCUGAGUGGAAAGGCCGUCGUUCAACAGAUAAAAGUUACUCUAGGGAUAACAGGCUGAUCUCCCCCAAGAGUUCAUAUCGACGGGGAGGUUUGGCACCUCGAUGUCGGCUCAUCGCAACCUGGGGCGGUAGUACGUCCCAAGGGUUGGGCUGUUCGCCCAUUAAAGCGGUACGUGAGCUGGGUUCAGAACGUCGAGAGACAGUUCGGUCCAUAUCCGGUGUGAGCGUUAGAGUAUUGAAAGGAGCUUUCCUUAGUACGAGAGGACCGGGAAGGACACACCACUGAUGUACCAGUUUUUGUGCCAACAGAAAACGCUGGGUAGUCACGUGUGGAGUGGAUAACUGCUGAAAGCAUAA